GCUUCAUCUUCUCUGGAUGUCAGUACACACCGGCAUCCAUGGGCAAAGAUGGGCAUGUCGGCAGUACAAGGAAUGAAGAGACGCAUUCUGUAUUUCAGAAGCUGGCCUGCGCAGCUGUGUUCAGGCAUGUGUGGAACGCUGCAAGGUACAGCAAAAUUGUGCACGCCGAGCUACCUCUCCUGGGAAAAGGCG
rnacentral:lncRNA from 1 species